GCUGUGGUGGUUCAGUGGUAGACUUUUUGUCUUCCACAAGGGAGACCUGGGUUGGAUUCCCAGCCAGUGCA
rnacentral:tRNA from 1 species